rnacentral:rRNA from 1 species
GACGAACGCUGGCGGCGUGCUUAACACAUGCAAGUCGAACGGUGAUGCCCCAGCUUGCUGGUGUGGAUCAGUGGCGAAAGGGUGAGUAACACGUGAGCAACCUGCCCCAGACUCUGGCAUAAGCGCUGGAAACGGCGUCUAAUACUGGAUACGAAACUGGCCCGCAUGGGCAUGGUUUGGAAAGUUUUUCGGUUUGGGAUGGGCUCGCGGCCUAUCAGCUUGUUGGUGAGGUAAUGGCUCACCAAGGCGACGACGGGUAGCCGGCCUGAGAGGGGGACCGGCCACACUGGGACUGAGACUCGGCCCAGAAGCCGACGGGAGGCAGCAGUGGGGAAUAUUGCACAAUGGGCGAAAGCCUGAGUCAGCGACGCCGCGUGAGGGAUGACGGCCUUCGGGUGGUAAACCGCUUUCAGCAGGGAAGAAGCGAAAGUGACGGUACCUGCAGAAGAAGCACCGGCUAACUACGUG